rnacentral:rRNA from 1 species
AUACGGAGGGUGCAAGCGUUGUUCGGAAUUACUGGGCGUAAAGCGCGUGCAGGCGGUAAGGUAAGUCAGAUGUGAAAGCCCCGGGCUCAACCCGGGAAGUGCAUUUGAUACUGCCUUUCUUGAGUAUGGGAGAGGAGAGUGGAAUUCCCAGUGUAGAGGUGGAAUUCGUAGAUAUUGGGAGGAACACCCGUGGCGAAGGCGACUCUCUGGACCAAUACUGACGCUGAGACGCGAAAGCGUGGGGAGCGAACAGGAUUAGAAACCCUAGUAGUCC